rnacentral:rRNA from 1 species
UGUGUAGGCGGUUGUUUAAGUUUGGUGUGAAAUCUCCCGGCUCAACUGGGAGGGUGCGCCGAAUACUGAAUGACUAGAGUGCGGGAGAGGAAAGUGGAAUUCCUGGUGUAGCGGUGAAAUGCGUAGAUAUCAGGAGGAACAUCGGUGGUGUAGACGGCUUUCUGGACCGUAACUGACGCUGAGACACGAAAGCGUGGGUAAGCAAACAG